CGCCUAACACAUGCAAGUCGAACGAAGUAGCAAUACUUAGUGGCAGACGGGUGAGUAACAUGUAGGUAUCUGCCCUUUGGCCUGGAAUAACACGAGGAAACUUGUGCUAAUACCGGAUAAGUCUUUACAGAGAAAGCUUUAUGCACCAUUGGAUGAGCCUGCACUUGAUUAGUUUGUUGGUAGGGUAAUGGCCUACCAAGACUGUGAUCAAUAGCUGAUUUGAGAGGAUGAUCAGCCACAUUGGGACUGAGACACGGCCCAAACUCCUACGGGAGGCAGCAGUGGGGAAUCUUGCACAAUGGAGGAAACUCUGAUGCAGCGAUGCCGCGUGAGUGAAGAAGGCCUUUGGGUUGUAAAGCUCUUUCGUCGGGGAAGAAAAUGACUGUACCCGAAUAAGAAGGUCCGGCUAACUUCGUGCCAGCAGCCGCGGUAAUACGAAGGGACCUAGCGUAGUUCGGAAUUACUGGGCUUAAAGAGUUCGUAGGUGGUUAAAAAAGUUGGUGGUGAAAUCCCAGAGCUUAACUCUGGAACUGCCAUCAAAACUUUUUAGCUAGAGUAUGAUAGAGGAAAGCAGAAUUUCUAGUGUAGAGGUGAAAUUCGUAGAUAUUAGAAAGAAUACCAAUUGCGAAGGCAGCUUUCUGGAUCAUUACUGACACUGAGGAACGAAAGCAUGGGUAGCGAAGAGGAUUAGAUACCCUCGUAGUCCAUGCCGUAAACGAUGUGUGUUAGACGUUGGAAAUUUAUUUUCAGUGUCGCAGCGAAAGCGAUAAACACACCGCCUGGGGAGUACGACCGC
rnacentral:rRNA from 1 species